rnacentral:rRNA from 1 species
GGGGAUACUUCUGCGAGCAUCUGCCAGGAUGUUUUCAUUAAUCAAGAACGAAAGUUAGGGGAUCGAAGACGAUCAGAUACCGUCGUAGUCUUAACCAUAAACGAUGCCGACCAGCGAUUAGGAGACGUUGAAUACAAAACACCACCAUCUUCAGCAUGGUUGUUUUCAAAUUGGAUCUUUAUGAUUCUUUUUGGGAACAAUUCAUCCUGGAUGGGUUCGGUGAAUG